rnacentral:rRNA from 1 species
UACGAAGGGGGCUAGCGUUGUUCGGAUUUACUGGGCGUAAAGCGCACGUAGGCGGAUCGAUCAGUCAGGGGUGAAAUCCCAGAGCUCAACUCUGGAACUGCCUUUGAUACUGUCGAUCUGGAGUAUGGAAGAGGUGAGUGGAAUUCCGAGUGUAGAGGUGAAAUUCGUAGAUAUUCGGAGGAACACCAGUGGCGAAGGCGGCUCACUGGCGUCGGUACUGACGCUGAGGUGCGAAAGCGUGGGGAGCAAACAGG